rnacentral:lncRNA from 1 species
CCGAGAAGGCAUACGGGGCUGUAGCAUAUUUACGAACAGAAGACAAUCAGGGCAAGACCUACUUAUCAUUCCUCCUGGCAAGAUCUAGAGUAGCACCCAAACGUCUCCUGUCUAUGCCAAGGCUUGAGCUGUGUGCAGCGGUGGUAGGAGCACAGAUCACCACUGUGAUUCAACAGGAGUUCACCUUGAAGAUCAGAGGGAUCACUUUGUGGACCGAUUCCACAACAGUGUUGAUGUGGCUACAAUCUGAUUCCUGCCGUUUUAAAGUCUUCGUGGGGACAAGGGUGGCUGAGAUCCAGGAGCUCACCGACCGCCAGGCAUGGCGCUACGUGGAUUCAGCAAGCAACCCCGCAGACGAUAUUACAAGGGGAAAGACCCUGAAAGAUCUUGCAGAGCCCAACAGGUGGAGUCAGGGCCCACCAUUCCUCUUUCGAGCUCAGGACAAGUGGACAGGAAACCCUCCCCCUCUUGCCAAGGAGGAGGUAUCAGAACUUCGGAAGACGACCUUCUGCGGAGUCGCAUCAACAGUGAUGGAGCCCCAAAUUCAAGAUGCAGACAAGUGUAACACAUGGAAGGAGCUCGUAGAGAUUACUGCAGAGGUGCUUCGCGGGGCGGCGGGUCAGCCCAGCAGUCCUACGGCCGCAGACUACCUGAAAGCGGAGACCCUCAUCUUCCAGCGAGCCCAACAGGACAGCUUUCCAGAUGAGUUGCGUCUCCUGAGAGCUGGUAGACCUGUUCUAGCUAAUAGCCGCCUACUUACCUUGUCCCCAGAGUUUGAUGAAUCAGACGGAGUAAUACGAGUUGGUGGAAGACUACGGAGAUCUGAGGAGCUAGAGUAUGCCACCCUGCAUCCGAUCGUUCUAGAUCCCAGUCACCCUGCUGUCAAGCUCCUGAUACAAGAUUAUGACAGCCGUUUGUGUCACCCUGGCCCUGAGCGGGUGUUUGCGGAAAUACGGCGUACCUUGUGGAUCCUCCGGGGACGUGAGGCUAUCCGUCGACACCAACGCACCUGUACAGAGUGCCAUCGGUGGAAGUCCAGACCUGUGGUCCCCAAGAUGGCCGACCUACCAGCUGCUCGCCUUCGCCUCUUUAAGCCAGUUUUCCACUCCACGGGUAUGGACUGUUUUGGGC